CUUGGAAGUAAUUGUUUGGGAGUACCUAUUGUACAAUAACAUCAUGGUAUAUGGUACUGUGCGUGGAUACGAUAUUACAAUGGCGCUUCUGGAAGGAGCGAUCAUCUUAGUCCCUCGCUUUUUGGAGUUUUCAUGAGUGUGGUCACUCUUAUUGCUGCUACUUUACGUGGGUUACAAGAAUCUAUGACCCAUUGAUCAUGUCCUUUUGUGAGAUCAGGCUAUCAAUGCAAUUGUUAUGUUUUGCUCUUCAUAUGUUUUUGUUUUUGGUUUGCUGUCCUAAUGGUAUUGUACAAGAAUCUGUUUCUGUGGUUAUCUCUGUUAUUGUAAUUUGGAAUGUAAUCCUUUUUCAAGUUCCAUAGUUUAUAUAUGUUGAAAUCAA